rnacentral:rRNA from 1 species
GUCUUUAAGAUUUUAAUUUAAAGUCUAAUCUGCCCAAUGAAUUUAUUUAAAUGGCUGCAGGAUUUUUACUGUACUAAGGUAGCAUAAUAAUUUGUUUUUUAAUUAAAAACUAGAAUGAAAGAUUAAAUGAAAUAUAAACUGUUUCAAUUAAAUUGAUUUUAAAUUUUUUAUUUGAGUAAAAAAACUUAAAUAAUAUUUAAAGACGAUAAGACCCUAUAGAAUUUUAUUUAUUUUAUAAUUUAAAUAAUUAUAAAAUAAAUUUUAUUGGGGUAAUAAAAAAAUUUAAAUAAUUUUUUUUAAAAUUUACAUUUUAAAUGAAUAUUUUAUCUUAAUUUUUAAAUUAAAAAAAUUAAUUACCUUAGGGAUAACAGCAUAAUUUUUUUUAAAAGAUCUUAUUUAUAAAAAAGUUUAU